GAUGAACGCUAGCUACAGGCUUAACACAUGCAAGUCGAGGGGCAGCAUGAACUUAGCUUGCUAAGUUUGAUGGCGACCGGCGCACGGGUGAGUAACACGUAUCCAACCUGCCGAUGACUCGGGGAUAGCCUUUCGAAAGAAAGAUUAAUACCCGAUGGCAUAGUUCUUCCGCAUGGUAGAACUAUUAAAGAAUUUCGGUCAUCGAUGGUGAUGCGUUCCAUUAGGUUGUUGGCGGGGUAACGGCACAACAAGCCUUCGAUGGAUAGGGGUUCUGAGAGGAAGGUCCCCCACAAUGGAACUGAGACACGGUCCAAACUCCGACGGGAGGCAGCAGUGAGGAAUAUUGGGCAAUGGACGAGAGUCUGAACCAGCCAAGUAGCGUGAAGGAUGACUGCCCUAGGGGUUGUAAACUUCUUUUAUACGGGAAUAAAGUGAGGCACGUGUGCCUUUUUGUAUGUACCGUAUGAAUAAGGAUCGGCUAACUCCGUG
rnacentral:rRNA from 1 species